GAUAACUAUAACAUCUGCUUUCUUGUAGUGGUUGCAUCCUGUCUGAACAAUAGUGAAGUUCACAUUUACAGACUUUCAGAAGACAGGUGGGAGCAAGCGCAUAUUCUCCAAAAGGUCAUUAUUGCAGUACUUCAUCCUUAAAGAAUAUGUAUGGAAUCAUGAAGGAUCAGAGUGGGUACCUACCUUAGUUAUGCUCAGGCUAAACCGAGCUGUGGUUUGCCUUCAAUGGAGCCCAAAAGAAAACAAAUUUGAUGUUGGAACAAGAUGGUAUUAGCUUCUAUUUUCGGGUUUUUCCUCUUCAUUGUUUUUUUAUUUUAUUUUUCAGUCUUAUGUUGCGUUGGACAUGUAUUCUUCUGAUGUGCUUUUUAGUAAGUCAUCACUGACUGAUUAAGGAUUUAUGGGCGAUAUGUUUUCCAAACUUGGGGGACAAGUUGGUUGUGUUCACUGCAUUUGAACUCAUUCUUUUAUGAUGAAAGCUUUUAAAUUUGGGUAUGAGCAUUGGCCAAGCAUUGUCUGCUUGAAGUUGACCUA